UGUGAAGAAGGCCUUCGGGUUGUAAAGCACUUUUGUCCGGAAAGAAAACUUCGUCCCUAAUAUGGAUGGAGGAUGACGGUACCGGAAGAAUAAGCACCGGCUAACUACGUGCCAGCAGCCGCGGUAAUACGUAGGGUGCGAGCGUUAAUCGGAAUUACUGGGCGUAAAGCGUGCGCAGGCGGUCUGUUAAGACCGAUGUGAAAUCCCCGGGCUUAACCUGGGAACUGCAUUGGUGACUGGCAGGCUUUGAGUAUGGCAGAGGGGGGUAGAAUUCCACGUGUAGCAGUGAAAUGCGUAGAGAUGUGGAGGAAUACCGAUGGCGAAGGCAGCCCCCUGGGCCAAUACUGACGCUCAUGCACGAAAGCGUGGGGAGCAAACAGGAUUAGAUACCCUGGUAGUCCACGCCCUAAACGAUGUCAACUAGUUGUUGGGGAUUCAUUUCCUUAGUAACGUAGCUAACGCGUGAAGUUGACCGCCUGGGGAGUACGGUCGCAAGAUUAAAACUCAAAGGAAUUGACGGGGACCCGCACAAGCGGUGGAUGAUGUGGAUUAAUUCGAUGCAACGCGAAAAACCUUACCUACCCUUGACAUGGUCGGAACCC
rnacentral:rRNA from 14 species